rnacentral:lncRNA from 1 species
UAGCUGACAAUUAUUGUUUCCUAUUUGUAUUGAUGAAGUUCUUGCUACUGUAUUGCAGGAAGAGAGAGAAUCAUCCAUAAGUCCUGUCACCAUAUCGGCUGGCCACCGUCGUCAUGUGUGUUGCUUCUUCAUUUUCCAGUUCUGUUGUGCUGGAUUCUACUGCCGACUUUGUUGAUUGGCUACUACAAUUCUGAGUUUAGUCCUCAGCUUUUGUGUGUUCCCUGCACUUGUGUACUAUAAAUAGACAGGAAAAACACCUUUACCAGGCUCAUCCGUUGAACUAUAUGAUAAUGCA